rnacentral:rRNA from 1 species
UUUAACUGAGCGUUCAGUUACUUGACGUAGACCCGAAACCGGGCGACCUACCCAUGAGCAGGAUGAAGCGAAAGUAAAAUUUCGUGGAGGUCCGAACCCACGAGCGUUGAAAAGCUCGGGGAUGACUUGUGGGUAGCGGUGAAAUUCCAAUCGAGCCCGGAGAUAGCUGGUUCUCCCCGAAAUAGCUUUAGGGCUAGCCUCAAGGUGAGAGAUACGGAGGUAGAGCACUGAAUGUCCUAGGGGGUAUUGCACCUACCGAAGACUAUCAAACUCCGAAUGCCGUCAUCUUAUACUUGGGAGUCAGACUGUGGGUGAUAAGAUUCAUAGUCGAAAGGGCAACAGCCCAGAUCGUCAGCUAAGGUCCCUAAAUGUAAGUUAAGUGGUAAAGGAUGUGGGAUUGCACAGACAACCAGGAUGUUGGCUUAGAAGCAGCCACUCAUUCAAAGAGUGCGUAAUAGCUCACUGGUCGAGUGAUCCUGCGCCGAAGAUUUCCGGGGCUAAAACUUACUACCGAAGCUACGGCAUCAGUAAUGAUGGGUAGGGGAGCUUCCCAUACGGGUUGAAGCAUGACCGUAAGGACAUGUGGACAGUAUGGGAGUGAGAAUGUUGGCAUGAGUAGCGAGAUGUGGGUGAGAAUCCCACAGGCCGUAAACC